rnacentral:rRNA from 1 species
UACGUAGGGUUCGAGCGUUAAUCGGAAUUACUGGGCGUAAAGCGUGCGCAGGCGGCGCGUUAAGACAGGUGUGAAAGCCCCGAGCUUAACUUGGGAAUUGCGCUUGUGACUGGCGUGCUGGAGUGUGGCAGAGGGAGGUGGAAUUCCACGUGUAGCAGUGAAAUGCGUAGAGAUGUGGAGGAACACCGAUGGCGAAGGCAGCCUCCUGGGCCAGCACUGACGCUCAUGCACGAAAGCGUGGGGAGCAAACAGG